GAUGAACGCUGGCGGCGUGCCUAAUACAUGCAAGUCGAACGAGGUGCUUGAGUAGCAAUACAAGAGUAUCCUAGUGGCGAACGGGUGAGUAACGCGUGGAUGACCUGCCCCAAAGUGUGGGAUAACAGUCCGAAAGGAUUGCUAAUACCUCAUGUGGUUAUCGGAUUUAGAAACUGAUAACUAAAGCAGCAAUGCGCUUUGGGAGGGAUCUGCGUCCCAUCAGCUAGUUGGUGAGGUAACGGCUCACCAAGGCGACGACGGGUAGGGGACCUGAGAGGGUGGCCCCCCACAAUGGAACUAGAACAACGGUCCAUACACCUACGGGUGGCGGCAGUAGGGAAUAUUGCUCAAUGGGCGGAAAGACC
rnacentral:rRNA from 1 species